UGGUUUUGCUGGUUUUCUAGGUAUGGAGCUGAAAUACAACUGAGGCCUAGAUGGUAUCUCUUGGGAGAUGACCUUCUAUAUCUGCUGUAAAUUGCUCUGCCAGUUUGUUCAGCUCUCUGUCUCAGUUUCCCUCUUCCACUUGUCCUGGCUUAUUGGCCUCUCUUAGAUAUUUCCAUCCCUUUGAUUUUUCAGAGGUGAUGAGAGAGGAGAGUCUGUCUUCAGUAACUGCUUCCUGCUGACAAGGGUCAUGGUCCCUCCCUGUGCAGGUUAUGAAAGUCUCUCCCUGACUGAUCUAAGGGAGAUAAGGGGAUGGGAACAGAGACUGGACCGAAGCUGCUAACUGAUUCAUUCAAAGUAAGGACAGGCUGGAAUCUUGGAAGCAUCAUUGUAUGUAUGGAAUUAUAUCAUUCCAAAAGUAAAGCCGACAGAUUGCUUCAUAUUUCAUUGACUCAAUUAUUUACUCUUGAAAAUAAGUAGUUCAGUUAAAUUGUGAGUCUCAUUUCAGGAGGUGGUGAUGCAUCUGGAUCUUUAAAGUGAUUCCCGUAUUGUGUAAAUAAGUAAUCAUGUAUUUAAUAAGGAGUAUGCCUGUGAAAAUAGAAGAAAAAACAAAGGUUAAUGAUUAUAAGAAAUUAUAAACCAGUCUCUGAGUCUGUAAGACUAUCAACCAAAUAGGCAUCGAGUUUCUUUUGCUGGAAUAAAAGCAAGCAGGGACAAUCUGACAGAUCCUCUUUAUCUUCAGUUUAAAUAUCUCUGGUGAUGCUAUCAGAUGCUCAGGUAAAUUCUUUAUGGUUGACAUUGAAUCAGUUGUUCUCAAUAACCCCAAGUCAAAGGGUGGGAGAAAAAU